GACGAACGCUGGCGGCGUGCUUAACACAUGCAAGUCGAACGGAAAGGCCCCUUUGGGGGUACUCGAGUGGCGAACGGGUGAGUAACACGUGAGUAACCUGCCCUUGACUUCGGGAUAACUUCAGGAAACUGGGGCUAAUACCGGAUAGGAAUCCUUGCUGCAUGGUGGGGGUUGGAAAGCUUCGGCGGUUUUGGAUGGACUCGCGGCUUAUCAGCUUGUUGGUGGGGUAGUGGCUUACCAAGGCUUUGACGGGUAGCCGGCCUGAGAGGGCGACCGGCCACAUUGGGACUGAGAGACGGCCCAGACUCCUACGGGAGGCAGCAGUGGGGAAUAUUGCACAAUGGGCGGAAGCCUGAUGCAGCAACGCCGCGUGCGGAUGACGGCCUUCGGGUUGUAAACCGCUUUCAGCAGGGGCGAAGCUUGUGGUGACGGUACCUGCAGAAGAAGCACCGGCUAACUACGUG
rnacentral:rRNA from 1 species